ACGACGUAACUGAUUUCAUCCCGGACCGUCAGCCUGACUUCCCCGACAAGAAGUUCGAGAAGGUGACGGGGGAUCCGUUCUUCGUCGAUGAGAGCGUUCUGGUUUACCCUAUCCAGGGUUUCCCCGAUCAGGAGAUCUGUGACGUUUCUACAAAAACCAUUAAUGACCACCUCAAUCGCUUCAGUUCCACCAGCCGCAUCCUGCAACAGCGUCAGACCAUCGAGCUGGUGCCUCUGACUCACGCUUAUUACACUUACAGUGGAAAAGACUACAGCUUCUUCGUGUACGGAGUGGAGAACAAGGUCUUUGCGGCCAAAUAUCCCACUGCAUGUACUAUUCUAUAAGUAACAUGAGGAAGUAUUUAAUCCUCACAGUACGUGUUCUGUGUAGUGCAGGUCGUAUACUGUAGGAGGGAAAGGGCAGCAGGCAGAAAAAGGCGGAAUAAUCGCUUAAAUGUACCUACCUGUAUUCACCAAAAAUCUAUAGUAGCAGUAUCCAGUUUACUUUUCGUGUGACGACAUUAAUCGUCCGUAUUCACUGUUCAAUAUGCCUUCACAUUUCAGCAUGUGACAAUAUGGUGCUUUAAAUGACCAAACGAAGCCUUAACGUUGUGCUAAAACUUUUACAUUUUUUGUACAAUAUUCCUCAGGACAGGACACUAUCUCAUAAAGCUACAGAUCUAUGGAGGAUCAAAUCUGCCAAAAUAAAUAAAUAAUUGAAAUACAAAAAAAAGAUGACAAAUAAAAAUCCCAAUAAUUUAAUAAAUAUUAUGACAAGAAAAGCUGUGCAAAGG